rnacentral:lncRNA from 10 species
UUUGUUUAAGAAACUCAUAAAACAGUGUGGUGGGCUGACAGGUGGCCCCAGAGAGACAGGUUGCAUCCUAAUCCCCAGAACACAGGAAUGCCACCUUAUGUGACAGAAGAGAGAAUGUUCCCUUUUAUGGCAAAAAAUGUGAUUAGGCUAAGGAUCUUGAAAAGAAGAGCUUAUCCUAGAUUAUCUGGGCAGCCCCAAAUGCAAUCAUGUGUAUCUUUUUAAGAGAGAGGCAGAGGGAGUUUGGGGACAAACACAUACAGAGGACAAGGCGAUGUGAUGAUAGAGGCAGAGAUUGGAGUGAUGUGGCCAUCUGUGAGGAAUGUCAGGAGUCCGCUUUGGAUGAAGCGGGGAAGGACCCUUUCCCAGAACCUUCAGAGGGAGUAUGGCCCUGCCGAUGCCUUGAUUCUGGACUUCUUACCUCCAGAACUGUGGGAGAAUAAAUUUCUGCCGUUUAAAGCCAUCAAUGGUCUGGUCAGCCUCUGGGACCAGGACAAAGGCUCCCGAAGAAAUGU